CUUGGGAUUCGAACGGCAGGCGGGAAGUGCUCUAGCAGGGGAGUCUGACCUUGUGAGGGAAUACCUGUGUCCCCCCUUUUUUCCCCUUUUUACCCAAUAAAACCCUGCCUUACUCACCCUUUAAAUCAUCUGCGAGCCUGAAUUUUCAUGGCCGUGGGACGGACAAGAACUUUAUCUUCAGCUGAACUAAGAAAAAGUCCUGCAACAUUUUUGGCGCGCAAUGUGGGGGCACCAGAAGCGGGCACCGUUGAGCUGUUGCAACUGUUCUGCUGGAGCCUUAUGUAUGUGGUUGAAACCACCUGUACUACUGGAAUGAAAGCACCUUUACAGAAGAGGCAAUGCAAGUUGUAUUCAUCACAUGUGUAGAAUGAAUUAAGAUUUAUGCCAGUUGCAAAGAAGAAUAUUGGCUCACUAUUUUUCCUCUGGGCAUGUGGAAAUGUAAAUCAGUCCAUGUUACUCACCUCGGAGAAGCAGAAGUACGAUUUACUAUUGUUGCUUGCUUACUUACUCUUAUCAAUUUCUAUGAGAGGUAUGGCUGGAGACCAGAAAACACCAGGAGUAUACACUUUCAGACAGACAACACCAUUUGCUAAUAUCCAGAAAUGGCUGAAUUCAGAGUCACAACUAGAUUCUAUUUCUGUUUUCUCUCUGCUUAAUUUUAUAAAGGAUAAGACAUUUUCUGGGUAUUUCUAUUGAUUGCUUUGCCAUUUUAUACAUUAACAUUUCCAAAAGAAAAGGUUAUUUUAAAACUUUCCAUAACAAAUUUGUAUGAUAAGUACUAGGUGAAACAAAAAUAAAUAGGUUGUGUUUUGAAGCACUUCUAUUGUUUAGUAAAAAAUAUAGUUGGUCUUUUACACAGUUUUUUAGUACAGAGCUUCAAAAACCUUUGACAUUUCCUAAGUAAUAGGAGUGUCUUGUUAUGCUAAUGAGGUGACUUGUGGGACUCCUAACUAGUGUCCCUGUGGGAGGCCGUUUGCCAGAAAAACCAACCACAUGAUGAGAAUGUUUUGACUUUUGGCCUUACCUCCAG
rnacentral:lncRNA from 10 species